rnacentral:lncRNA from 1 species
AUCAUGUCACUCGUAUUCCUCACUUGAGGCUUUUGAUAGGAUUAGGCUUGGGUUGAGCAUCAUGAGGAAAUUCAUUCCAAAGUGUAACUUCGACCCCCUUUAACAGCACAGUGUUCCUAUUACUCAAAUGCGAAGAAAAUAAAAUGUAAAGAGUAAAUCUUGAUGCUUGAAAUUCUUUAGAGCGAUUUUCUUCAGGACACACCGGAUUCCUCAAUUUCAGUAUCUUCAUGAGGAAUAUCAAUUUCAUC